AUUGAACGCUGGCGGAAUGCUUUACACAUGCAAGUCGAACGGCAGCACGGACUUCGGUCUGGUGGCGAGUGGCGAACGGGUGAGUAAUGUAUCGGAACGUGCCCAGUCGUGGGGGAUAACGUAGUGAAAAUUACGCUAAUACCGCAUACGAUCUAUGGAUGAAAGCGGGGGAUCGCAAGACCUCGCGCGAUUGGAGCGGCCGAUAACAGAUUAGGUAGUUGGGGGGGUAAAGGCCCACCAAGCCAACGAUCUGUAGCUGGUCGGAGAGGACGACCAGCCUCACUGGAACUGAGACACGGUCCAGACUCCUGCGGGAGGCAGCAGUCGGGAAUGUUGGACCAUGGGCGAAAGCCUGAUCCAGCCAUUCCGCGUGCAGGAUGAAGGCCCUCGGGUUGUAAACUGCUUUUGUACAGAACGAAAAGGUUUCUACUAAUACUAGGAGCUCAUGACGGUACUGUAAGAAUAAGCACCGGCUAACUACGUGCCAGCAGCCGCGGUAA
rnacentral:rRNA from 1 species